UACGUAGGGUCCGAGCGUUGUCCGGAAUCAUUGGGCGUAAAGGGAACGUAGGCGGUCUAGUAAGUUAGAAGUGAAAGGCAGUAGCUCAACUUAUGGAAGCUUUUAAAACUGCUUGACUUGAGAGUUUGAGGGGAAAGUGGAAUUCCUAGUGUAGCGGUGAAAUGUGUAGAUAUUAGGAGGAAUACCAGUGGCGAAGGCGACUUUCUGGCACUCAUCAGACGCUGAGGUUCGAAAGCGUGGGGAGCAAACAGG
rnacentral:rRNA from 1 species